UACGGGGGGGGCAAGCGUUGUUCGGAAUUACUGGGCGUAAAGGGCUCGUAGGCGGCCAACUAAGUCAGACGUGAAAUCCCCAGGCUCAACCUGGGAACUGCGUCUGAUACUGAUUGGCUUGAAUCCGGGAGAGGGAUGUGGAAUUCCAGGUGUAGCGGUGAAAUGCGUAGAUAUCUGGAGGAACACCGGUGGCGAAGGCGGCAUCCUGGACCGGUAUUGACGCUGAUGCGCGAAAGCCAGGGGAGCAAACGGG
rnacentral:rRNA from 1 species